rnacentral:rRNA from 1 species
CCUACGGGGGGCAGCAGUCGAGAAUCAUUCACAAUGGGGGAAACCCUGAUGGUGCGACGCCGCGUGGGGGAAUGAAGGUCUUCGGAUUGUAAACCCCUGUCAUGUGGGAGCAAAUUAAAAAGAUAGUACCACACGAGGAAGAGACGGCUAACUCUGUGCCAGCAGCCGCGGUAAUACAGAGGUCUCAAGCGUUGUUCGGAAUCACUGGGCGUAAAGCGUGCGUAGGCUGUUUCGUAAGUCGUGUGUGAAAGGCGCGGGCUCAACCCGCGGACGGCACAUGAUACUGCGAGACUAGAGUAAUGGAGGGGGAACCGGAAUGCUCGGUGUAGCAGUGAAAUGCGUAGAUAUCGAGAGGAACACUCGUGGCGAAGGCGGGUUCCUGGACAUUAACUGACGCUGAGGCACGAAGGCCAGGGGAGCGAAAGGGAUUAGAUACCCUUGUAGUC